GGGGGUAUAGCUCAGUUGUAGGGCAUUCGACUGCAGAUCGAGAGGUCCCCAGUUCAAACCCGGAUGCUCCCU
rnacentral:tRNA from 1 species